rnacentral:tRNA from 3 species
GGGGUAUUAGCUCAGUUGGUUCAGAGUACCACCCUGACACGGUGGGGGUCACUGGUUCGAGCCCAGUAUGCCUCACAA